UACGGAGGGUGCAAGCGUUAAUCGGAAUUACUGGGCGUAAAGCGCGCGUAGGCGGUAGACUAAGUCAGAUGUGAAAGCCCUGGGCUCAACCUGGGAAUGGCAUUUGAUACUGGUAAACUAGAGUCUGGUAGAGGGUGGUGGAAUUCCAGGUGUAGCGGUGAAAUGCGUAGAGAUCUGGAGGAACAUCAGUGGCGAAGGCGGCCACCUGGACCAAGACUGACGCUGAGGUGCGAAAGCGUGGGGAUCAAACAGG
rnacentral:rRNA from 1 species